rnacentral:lncRNA from 1 species
CCAUGCUUCAAGUGUUUCCUCAGCAAGAGCAGCCGUCUCCUCUGGGCUAGACGGAGCGAUAAUCUCAUCAUCGGGUAGUUCUUCAAGAAUUGGCUCCUUAAAUCUGUCAGGUUCUAAAUCAGGUAGGUCAUCUUCAUUGGCAUCGACAAAUUCUUUCCUUCCGAUCUUAAUAAUUGGCUUUCUUCGACGCUUUGUAGGGUACUCAGGGAGGUCAACACCAGCUUGGAUGCAGAGCUCCACAAGAGCUGGAAUGCGGGGCACCUCAAACCUCUGGUCAUGAGUGAUACGAGGGCCUAGACGGUCCUCUAGGUGGUAGGCUUC